GGCUUAAAUAGUGUGCUGUAAUAUUUCUUUCCAAAAUAAAUUAAUACAAUGGUUAUGAUAAGUUUAAUUGAUUCAUUAUUCAAAUGGCUGGCUCAAGUUUAGCCUUCAGAUCCAGAUUGACAUGUUGGAUUCUUAAUGAAAUGAUGAUUCAUUUCUUAAAUUCCUGCUUGAGUAUUCUUUUGAUUUCACCUUCCACAAAGCCACAUGCUUCCUGUAUAUAUUAAUGAAAUCCACCAUUACUUCCCUUUCCUUAUCCUUAACGGCACACGUGUCACUCAUUUUGCAACUGAUACACUACGCCUGUCACUGAAGGAGAUGUUACAGAUGUUACCUCGGCGAGAUUUGAGUAUGUAUGACGGUUCAAGACUGAUGACCGUUCACACGUUCAGACAUGGACAUGCACCGAGCAAGCUCCGCCCACAAAAGUCAGGCCCCGUCAGACAUCCGUCCAACACGUUGGUCAAACAUGUUUACCCCUUUCACACGUUCAAACAUUCUCUCAAACGUCGUGUUGUCAAGCGUGUUGGCCAACAUGUUUGACCGUGUAAAACCCCCGUUAUGACAGUAGGUAUAUUUCGGGAGGAAUAUUUGACCACGGGAUAUGAAUUUCUACACUAGCAGCCUUAGAAAUACCUUAUAUGAAUGAAGAACAUUAUGGCCCCAACCAGAUUGAAAAAGGAACUUCUCCAGGAACGUCAGGACAAAUUUCUGGGGGAAGAUGGACUUGUGAGAAGAGGAAGAGAAAGACCAUCUAUAAUAACCUGAACGUGAAGAUCAUAACGAAGAUCAAAUUAAGUAUACACACACACACACACACACACACACACACACACACACACACACACACACACACACAUUAUGUCAUUUACAAAUAGAAGUACAUAGUAUCUUUGUUAGAGAAAUUACAAUAUCAUUUGAAUA